CAGUCGCCGCGGUAAUACGAAGGGUGCAAGCGUUACUCGGAGUUACUGGGCGUAAAGCGUGCGUAGGUGGUGGUUUAAGUCCGUUGUGAAAGCCCUGGGCUCAACCUGGGAAUUGCAGUGGAUACUGGAUCACUAGAGUGUGGUAGAGGAUAGUGGAAUUUCCGGUGUAGCAGUGAAAUGCGUAGAGAUCGGAAGGAACAUCUGUGGCGAAGGCGACUAUCUGGGCCAACACUGACACUGAGGCACGAAAGCGUGGGGAGCAAACAGGAUUAGAGACCCCUGUAGUCCCUGUCUCUUAUAC
rnacentral:rRNA from 1 species